rnacentral:rRNA from 1 species
AUUGAACGCUGGCGGCAGGCUUAACACAUGCAAGUCGAGCGGAGACUUCGGUCUUAGCGGCGAACGGGUGAGUAAUACCUAGGAAUCUGCCUAUUAGUGGGGGAUAACGAAUCGAAAGGUUCGCUAAUACCGCAUACGUCCUACGGGAGAAAGGGGGGGAGUCUUCGGACCUCUCGCUAAUAGAUGAGCCUAGGCCGGAUUAGCUAGUUGGUAGGGUAAAGGCCUACCAAGGCGACGAUCUGUAGCUGGUCUGAGAGGAUGGCCAGCCACACUGGAACUGAGACACGGUCCAGACUCCUACGGGAGGCAGCAGUGGGGAAUAUUGGACAAUGGGGGCGAACCCUGAUCCAGCCAUGCCGCGUGUGUGAAGAAGGCCUUCGGUUGUAAG